GGGCUUACGAGUGCGAGGACCUCGGGGCCACCUCCCACCCGUGUUGCCCGAACCUAUGUUGCCUCGGCGGGCCCCGCGCCCGCCGACGGCCCCCCUGAACGCUGUCUGAAGUUGCAGUCUGAGACCUAUAACGAAAUUAGUUAAAACUUUCAACAACGGAUCUCUUGGUUCCGGCAUCGAUGAAGAACGCAGCGAAAUGCGAUAACUAAUGUGAAUUGCAGAAUUCAGUGAAUCAUCGAGUCUUUGAACGCACAUUGCGCCCUCUGGUAUUCCGGAGGGCAUGCCUGUCCGAGCGUCAUUGCUGCCCUCAAGCCCGGCUUGUGUGUUGGGCCCCGUCCCCCCCGCCGGGGGGACGGGCCCGAAAGGCAGCGGCGGCACCGCGUCCGGUCCUCGAGCGUAUGGGGCUUCGUCACCCGCUCUAGUAGGCCCGGCCGGCGCCAGCCGACCCCCAACCUUUAAUUAUCUCAGGUUGACCUCGGAUCAGGUAGGGAUACCCGCUGAACUUAAGCAUAUCAAUAAGACGGAGGAA
rnacentral:rRNA from 1 species